rnacentral:rRNA from 1 species
GGGAACUGGGUUUGUUUCGUGUCACUAACUCGGAGGUUGGUUUGUACAAAAAACCCACCCGUUCUCCUGUUACGCCCCGCUGCCACUACGUGAUCGGAAGUAAAGAACUAAGGGUGAUUGGUAAAUGUUGUGACGAUGGUCCUUCUAUAAAGACUCCGUAGGUUUCCUGUACAAAACAGAACACAGUACACGAGUAAACGACUGGUAUCUAAGUGAAACU